AAUCGCAGUGACUACGUCUCCAUUUAAAGAACGUAUGCGCGCAUUCUACUCAAACCUUGUGCACGACUCCUACUUAACUCCCGGACGAUGGAAACGUAGUCAAUGACUGAGUCCAUUCCUCGCACAUAAACGAACUGUUUAAAUUAAGUGUCAGUGCACGAAAUAAUUCCCAGUGGAUUCACGUAUAUUCUGACAAAGGCCAAAAGUUAUCACCGACGCAACCAACAACCGCGCUGCUAGAACACGAGACUCGGAGACUCGAAAGCUGAAUGAUGAUUGUACAAGCACGUUCUCUCUUUGGGGUUGAGACUCGAGUUGCGAGUGAACGUGACUUUCACGAUGGGUGAUUCGGAUUAGGUCAAUUUACGUAGUAAUGCGCAGAAUGUCAUUCGCCUACGUUUAUUUAAGGUCUUAAGAGAGUUUAUUAACCGUGCGACCUCUUGUGGAGUAACUGGUCAUUGUUAUUUUCAUUCAUUCGCUAUUAGAGCGGUAGCUUCGACAUAAUGUAUUUACGUUAAUUAUUAUACGAUUCGACAUUACAAUUGGCAAUUACGAUAUGAGAUAAAUAUUUUCAUUUUUCGUUCAAUAAUUCACGACACAUCGUUCGAUUGCCUGUGGGUCUUGAUGAUGCAAUUCCGAAUGGAUUCAAGGGUUGACAAAUAAGGUGCUAAGAGUUUAGGGCGUCUCUACGAGCUUAAAUUUUCGGAAAAAUUUUAUUUUACGAAUUUUCGACGUUUCGUCCAGUGAAUGUAAAUUUUCACGGAAUUUCAUACAGAAAACAGUUAUAGAUACUUUUACCGUAGAAAUCACGGCGAAGGGACAAUGCUAUGCAGAGCAGUCACAAGGUACUAUUACUUUCGUUAUUAUUCGCAAUUCGGGUCGGGAUGGCAUUUGAAAAAUAAAAAAUUAUUUCGAAAAAUUAAAAUAAAUUUUCUUUCACAACUCCCGACACUGAUACGUGUAAAAAUAAAUUUGACGCAACUCUAUUGUUAUUUCCGACAAUCAAUAUUUCGCUCUAAUCGUCGCGGAUAGUCGCCUAUGGCCACGUCUUGAAGGAUAUGACGCAAGCACGAAAUUGGCCAGGAACCACAUUUACGAGGAGUUAACAAACUUUUGUGUCACUGGAACAAAGUAAUCCGCGUGGUUCGUGUUCGGCAAAUAUUCGUGUCGCUGUAAAAUUAUCAGUAACAAGUCACGUGUUAGUCCAUGCUGAGUCACAUAAUAAUACAUAGGACAGGUGGAUCACCUAUGCGCUAUGUGCUGCAAUGCGCUUAAAAUGAUGACAUAAUGAUUCAUCAUUAAAUACACCUGCACGUCAGACCUAGCGCGUCCCAUCAUAUAUAUAUAUAUACAAACACAAAGAAAAAAGAUUUGCUGACAUUGCGAUUCGCGCAAUGCCUAAAUUCGCAAUAUACUGUACGAUCAUAAGAAUCGCCCAUUGCAAACAGCUGGUAUCUUGUUUGUUUGCAAAUUCAAGAAUCUCACGAGCCUCUAGCAAACAGAACCGCUAACAGUUGAUCAACAGAAUUGAGAGAAGCACGGACCAAGUAAACAGCACAUUGCGCGAUAUUGAACCGAAGCGUAUCAUCUAAAUAUACGAAUAAGUGUUUUACAAGAAAAAAAAAAAAAAAAAAAAAAAAAAA